rnacentral:sRNA from 1 species
CUUCUUCAAUUUGUUGAGGACAAAUAAAGUGAAUAUGGGAGUCAAUGCCACCAGCGGUCAAUAUUGAACCUUCUCCCGCUAACACUUCGGUACCGGGACCAACGAUGAUAUCAACACCAGGCUGUAUGUCCGGGUUUCCCGCUUUGCCUAGUGCUUGAAUACGCCCAUUUUUCACUGCGACGUCUGCUUUGAUAAUGCCCCAGUAAUCAAGAAUCAAUGCGUUGGUAAUAACAAGGUCUGGUGUUUCCGCGCUUGGACGCUGACUUUGUCCCAUCCCGUCACGAAUG